CUAGUAAUCGUAGAUCAGCAUGCUACGGUGAAUACGUUCCCGGGUCUUGUACACACCGCCCGUCACACCACGAGAGUUUGUAACACCCGAAGCCGGUGGAGUAACCUUUUAGGAGCUAGCCGUCGAAGGUGGGACAAAUGAUUGGGGUGAAGUCGUAACAAGGUAGCCGUAUCGGAAGGUGCGGCUGGAUCACCUCCUUU
rnacentral:rRNA from 1 species